AGACCUCUGAUCAGAAAAGACUACCCGCUGAGUUUAAGCAUAUCACUAAGCGGAGGAGAAGAAACUAACCCAGGAUUUCCCCUAGUAACGGCGAGCGACACCGGAAAGAG
rnacentral:rRNA from 2 species